rnacentral:rRNA from 1 species
AUUAAGCCAUGCAUGUCUAAGUAUAAGCAACUUGUACUGUGAAACUGCGAAUGGCUCAUUAAAUCAGUUAUCGUUUAUUUGAUAGUACCUUACUACAUGGAUACCUGUGGUAAUUCUAGAGCUAAUACAUGCUAAAAACCCCGACUUCAGGAAGGGGUGUAUUUAUUAGAUAAAAAACCAACGCCCUUCGGGGCUCCUUGGUGAAUCAUAAUAACUUAACGAAUCGCAUGGCCUUGCGCCGGCGAUGGUUCAUUCAAAUUUCUGCCCUAUCAACUUUCGAUGGUAGGAUAGUGGCCUACCAUGGUGGCAACGGGUAACGGGGAAUUAGGGUUCGAUUCCGGAGAGGGAGCCUGAGAAACGGCUACCACAUCCAAGGAAGGCAGCAGGCGCGCAAAUUACCCAAUCCCGAUACGGGGAGGUAGUGACAAUAAAUACUGAUACGGGGCUCUUUUGGGUCUCGUAAUUGGAAUGAGAACAAUUUAAAUCCCUUAACGAGGAACAAUUGGAGGGCAAGUCUGGUGCCA